rnacentral:rRNA from 1 species
CGGUCUGUCUAGUCGGAUGUGAAAUCCCCGGGCUCAACCUGGGAACUGCAUUCGAAACUGGCAGGACUAGAGUCUUGUAGAGGGGGGUAGAAUUCCAGGUGUAGCGGUGAAAUGCGUAGAGAUCUGGAGGAAUACCGGUGGCGAAGGCGGCCCCCUGGACUAAGACUGACGCUCAGGUGCGAAAGCGUGGGGAGCAAACAGGAUUAGAUACCCUGGUAGUCCACGCCGUAAACGAUGUCUACUUGGAGGUUGUGCCCUUGAGGCGUGGCUUCCGGAGCUAACGCGUUAAGUCGACCGCCUGGGGAGUACGGCCGCAAGGUUAAAACUCAAAUGAAUUGACGGGGGCCCGCACAAGCGGUGGAACAUGUGGUUUAAUUCGAUGCAACGCGAAGAACCUUACCUACUCUUGACAUCCAUAGAACUUUCCAGAGAUGGAUUGGUGCCUUCUCGAACUCUGAGACGAGUGCUGCAUGGCUGUCGUCAGCUCGUGUUGUG